rnacentral:tRNA from 1 species
CUCAAUAGCUCAGCCGGUAGAGCAUGCGGCUGUUAACCGCAGGGUCGUUGGUUCGAGUCCAACUUGGGGA